ACGGGUGAGUAACACAUCGUGAACGUACCCUAUCGUGGGGGAUAACGAAUCGAAAGAUUCGCUAAUACCGCAUACGACCUGAGGGUGAAAGCGGGGGAUCGCAAGACCUCGCGCGAUUGGAGCGGCCGAUGUCGGAUUAGCUAGUUGGUAGGGUAAAGGCCUACCAAGGCGACGAUCCGUAGCUGGUCUGAGAGGACGACCAGCCACACUGGGACUGAGACACGGCCCAGACUCCUACGGGAGGCAGCAGUGGGGAAUUUUGGACAAUGGGGGAAACCCUGAUCCAGCCAUUCCGCGUGAGUGAAGAAGGCCUUCGGGUUGUAAAGCUCUUUCGGCAGGAACGAAACGGUGGGAGCUAAUAUCUUCCACUAAUGACGGUACCUGAAGAAGAAGCACCGGCUAACUACGUGCCAGCAGCCGCGGUAAUACGUAGGGUGCGAGCGUUAAUCGGAAUUACUGGGCGUAAAGCGUGCGCAGGCGGCUUUGUAAGACAGGUGUGAAAUCCCCGGGCUUAACCUGGGAACUGCGCUUGUGACUGCAAGGCUCGAGUGUGGCAGAGGGGGGUGGAAUUCCACGUGUAGCAGUGAAAUGCGUAGAGAUGUGGAGGAACACCGAUGGCGAAGGCAGCCCCCUGGGUCAACACUGACGCUCAUGCACGAAAGCGUGGGUAGCAAACAGGAUUAGAUACCCUGGUAGUCCACGCCCUAAACGAUGCCAACUAGGUGUUGGGGAAGGAGACUUCCUUAGUACCGUAGCUAACGCGUGAAGUUGGCCGCCUGGGGAGUACGGUCGCAAGAUUAAAACUCAAAGGAAUUGACGGGGACCCGCACAAGCGGUGGAUGAUGUGGAUUAAUUCGAUGCAACGCGAAAAACCUUACCUACCCUUGACAUGUCAGGAAUCCCGGAGAGAUUUGGGAGUGCUCGAAAGAGAGCCUGAACACAGGUGCUGCAU
rnacentral:rRNA from 1 species